UUUCUCUCAAAGUUCUUUGCAUUCUUCAUUUUUUCUUGGCAUGCAAACACACUUUUCUUCUCCGUUUAUUCAAGAAAAUCAUCCAUCUAUCUAUCUUCUAAAUCGGUUCAGUUAUUGUGCGGACUGCUUGGCAUCGCGAAAGUUAGCAAAGUUGAGGAGAACGCUGGUGGAGCAUCGACGAGUAGAGACAAAGGCAAGCAGAAGGUCACGUAGUUGACCUUGUGGUGAACUAAGAUAAGUAGUGCGUGGGAUAGCGAGGAGGGUGGCAGUUCAGUGAUCCAUCGCACAAACUUUUUUUCUACAGUAUGUGCGCCGAGCUAAUAAAACCCCAAGAAGGCAAUGUGUGACAUUUCCAAGCUAGAGACUUAGAUAAUUUUGGACAAUUUAUAAAAAAAAAAUUCAAGGGUUGUAAAUGGACUUUUCUGACGGUUUAAUUUUUGGGACUUUUUAAUCUCCGUGUUUGCUUGUUUCGUUGAAAUUGCUGCUUAAAUUAUAUGAUACUACUUAUUUGAACUAACAAGAUAUUUUGCAGCUAGUAGAGCUUGCCAAAGUUUAGGUACGCUUUAUUCCACUGAUUAUAUGCCUUGUUGUUUAAUUUAGAAAAGCAUGCUCUUGGGACUAAAUGCUUAUAUGAAAUAUUCUGUAUAUGUAUGGUGAGUAAAGAUGGCUGAUGUGAAUUAUAGAUAUUUAUUGAAGAGUCACCUCAAUAACUAAUGUGUCGCUCGAAAUUCAGGUCGGACCGUCUCAACCAAGUUUGGGGUGUCACAAAGAACCUAUAUAAAGACUCUUCGAGCUUGUGAAACAAGGAGAAGAUCUCUUUCGAAGGGUUAAGUUUUAAAGAAAAUUCCUAUCAGUUUUGGAAACUUGGCAUUAUCUCGUGUGAGAUGGAAGAGAUAAAGUGGUGGUUUUGAAUUUGAAAGGAAGCGGCGUGUUGUGUUGAAGAUAAGGUUAUAUGAUGGAUGAUGAGUGAAUGGUUCGAUAGAGUGAUUAAGCUCAAUAUUUUUUGAGUAGUUUUGUUCGUCUUGGGAACUAUCGUGUGAUAUUUGCUAUCACUAUUAGAUGCUUAAUGUAAA